rnacentral:lncRNA from 1 species
AGCAUUUGUUUUUGGCCUUGUUCUCGGUAUGUUACUCUCUGCAAUACUUGUCCUGUGCAGCUCAGGUCCUUUUACUGAUUUCAAUUGACAGAGUGCAGAUUUAGUUCACCUAUUCCUAAAUUAUAACUAUUAAUUUAAAUGGGCAAGAGGCAUGUGGUUAUGUUUUCACUAGGAGGUCAUUGCUUCCUGUUGUUUUUGUACUUUUUUCUCUUUCUCUAUUUUAUCACGAGGCAUCUCCCCUAAAAUGCAACAUGUCAACCUGUUUGCCAUGUAGUUGCUUUGCUCUGGAAUUAUUCAAUUCACACUGCUAAUAAUAGUAUGAGAUGUUGUUUGUGUCAACAGAAACUUUUCAAGAAUUGCAUGAUAGGCUGUCAUGGUAUUUACGAAUGCAGUAUUAUUCUCAGAUUUAACUGAGGCAUAAGAGCUGUGAAAGUUUCUUGCUAUUUUUAAAUGUCAUUGGUCCAAGUGCCUCAAAAGUUACUUGUUUAGAGUCUGAUCAUCAGAGCAAAGUUAUAUUCCCGUCUGUCUUUUAUUUUCAUUAACUCAUCAUGAUUCAUGAGCUUAACAAAAUCCUUAAAGCCUGAUUUAUUUUACUUUUGUAGCUUGCAUGUUUUCUUGAAUUCAUUCUGAGGUGCUUUUUUUUUUUUAAACCUUUU